rnacentral:rRNA from 1 species
AGGAUGAACGCUGGCGGUCUGCUUAACACAUGCAAGUCGAACGGAGUAGAAAUACUUAGUGGCGGACGGGUGAGUAACGCGUGAGAAUCUACCUUCAGGACGGAGACAACAGUUGGAAACGACUGCUAACCCCCGAUGUACUGAAAAGGCAAAUAUUUAUAGCCUGAAGAAGAGCUCGCGUCCGAUUAGCUAGUUGGAGAGGUAAAAAGCUCACCAAGGCGACGAUCGGUAGCUGGUCUGAGAGGACGAUCAGCCACACUGGGACUGAGACACGGCCCAGACUCCUACGGGAGGCAGCAGUGGGGAAUUUUCCGCAAUGGGCGAAAGCCUGACGGAGCAAAGACCGCGUGGGGGAAGAAGGCUCUUGGGGUUGUAAAACCCCGUUUUCUCCUGGGAAGAACGCAAUGACGGUACCAGAGGAAUCAGCAUCGCUAACUCCGUGCCAGCAGCCGC